GGGAAUAUAAUAAAUAUAUAAUAAUAUAAAAGUGGGUAAGAGAAAUCGGAAAAAUAAAAAGGUGGAUUUCGACCAUAGUUGGAGUUACCUUGCAAUUGUUGGCUCGGAUGUAAGGUAGGUGCUCUUAAGGUAGAGCAACUUGGGUCAAAUUCGGCUCAGAUGCAAAGUACUUGGCAGUAGGAUCAAUGGAUCGUAACCUCCGCAUGUUUGGCCUUUCCCGAAGGCGAUGCUUCAAUGGAAUCAUAAAAAGGCUCCUUCUGUUCAACUUAUUUGGCAAGUUGGUUGUUAAAACAUUCUUUAAGAUUGCUAAUUGCGACUGUCAUGUUUUGUGGUCGGCAUAAUCGGAGAUUUCGAGGAUUGGUCAUUACACAAUCCCUAAAGAGAUGAAUGAGGUCUGCAAUUGGCUUACAGCAAGGUUGGAGCUCGAGGAUAACACUAAAUAUAGCGAAGAGUCGGGAAGCAAUAAAGGUGAAAAGAGAGAAGACUGCAUAUGUUACAAGUAGGUAGUAAACAAAAUGGAUUGUUAGGGUAUAUGGUAUACUUGGAUCUGGAGAUGUUUCACUAAUGGGGCUACCCUUGUAGAAAUAAGAGAUUAGUAGAGUUUCUUGGAAUUGAAGUUGCAAUUUCAGACUGUAUUAGUUGUUAUGUAGUAUAACAUCAAUAUCAAUGUCCAUCGUCUUAGGAACCUUUUUAUUUGUUUACUUUUGUACAUUGGGUUGAAUGUUGGUGGUAUAUAUUUUGGCUAAAUGUUAGUGUAUUUUGAUAUUGGAUCUAUUUUUGUAAUGAAUAUUCAACCUUUAUUUUAGUUUUAAUUUAAUAUUUUUUAGUUGUAUUUAAA